GCUUCAGAUGGAGAUGGCAUUCCUCCGCCAACCGCCCGCAAGGGCUGAUGAUGCCUACAGCGUU
rnacentral:ncRNA from 1 species